rnacentral:rRNA from 1 species
GCGACCCCAGGAUGGGCGAGGCCACCCGCCGAGUUUAAGCAUAUCAAUAAGCGGAGGAGAAGAAACUUACGAGGAUUCCCC